rnacentral:rRNA from 1 species
AUUGAACGCUGGCGGCAUGCGUUACACAUGCAAGUCGAACGGCAGCACGGGAGCAAUCCUGGUGGCGAGUGGCGAACGGGUGAGUAAUGUAUCGGAACGUGCCCAGUCGUGGGGGAUAACGCAGCGAAAGCUGUGCUAAUACAGCAUACGAUCUAUGGAUGAAAGCGGGGGAUCGCAAGACCUCGCGCGAUUGGAGCGGCCGAUAUCUGAUUAGGUAGUUGGUGGGGUAAAGGCCCACCAAGCCUGCGAUCUGUAGCUGGUCUGAGAGGACGAUCAGCCACACUGGGCCUGAGACACGGCCCAGACUCCUACGGGAGGCAGCAGUGGGGAAUUUUGGACAAUGAGCGCAAGCCUGAUCAAGCAAUGCCGCGUGCAGGAUGAAGGCCAUCGGGUUGUAAACUGCUUUUGUACGAGACGAAAAGACUCGCUCUAAUACAGCGGGUACAUGACGGUAUCGUAAGUAUAAGCACCGGCUAACUACGUGCCAGCCGCCGCCGUAA